CCUACGGGAGGCUGCAGUGGGGGAUAUUGCACAAUGGGGGGAACCCUGAUGCAGCGACGCCGCGUGGGUGAAGAAGCGCCUCGGCGCGUAAAGCCCUGUCAGCAGGGAAGAAAAUGACGGUACCUGAAGAAGAAGCCCCGGCUAACUACGUGCCAGCAGCCGCGGGAAUACGGAGGGGGCAAGCGUUAUCCGGAUUUACCGGGUGUAAAGGGGGCGCAGACGGCGAUGCAGGCCAGGAGUGAAAGCCCGGGGCCCAACCCCGGGACUGCUCUUGGAACUGCGUGGCUGGAGUGCAGGAGGGGCAGGCGGAAUUCCUGGUGUAGCGGUGAAAUGCGUAGAUAUCAGGAGGAACACCGGUGGCGAAGGCGGCCUGCUGGACUGCCACUGACAUUGAUGCACGAAAGUGUGGGUAUCAAACAGGAUUAGAUACCCUUGUAGUC
rnacentral:rRNA from 1 species